UCUCCAAUUUUCCAUUCUCAUGGAUUCGCCAUUUUUUGAUCACUCUAGCACUCAAUAUUAUCAUCGUUUUACUUGCAAUAUAUGUUCCUGACAUUAGAAAUGUAUUUGGUGUAGUUGGUAAGUUUUCUGUUUCAAAAAGUUCACAUAAUAAAAUUGAUAAAAUUGCUACCCAGCCUCACAUCUGAAUCCAGCAAUAUCCUCUCUUUUUUUUCCCUCCAAUUUAAAGGUGCCAGUACAUCAACAUGUUUGAUUUUUAUAUUCCCAGGACUAUUUUAUCUUAAACUUAGCAGAGAGGAUUUUCUCUCAUGGAAAAAGUUUGGGGUAGGUUGUUUUUGUUUCUUUCUUUCAAGACUUCUAUUUUAAGAAAUAGUUUGUCAGUUUAUAUUAUUUUACCUGCAUCAAGAAAGUCAAUAUAUUUUAAAAUAUAGAAUACAUUAUUGCAGAGAGUAGAGAUUUAACAAAUAAUCUAAUUGUAUUUUUUAUCUUUUUUCUUUUAUCUUUCUUAUCUUUUAUCUUUUUUCUUAUUUCCACAGGCAUUCGUUUUGCUCAUCUUUGGAAUUUUGGUUGGGAAUUUUAGUUUAGCACUCAUCAUUUUUGAUUGGAUUAAUAAAUAAAAGAAAUAUUUUCCUACUUCUUACAAGAAU
rnacentral:sRNA from 1 species